CAGUCGAACGAAGCACUCUAUUUGAUUUUCUUCGGAGAUGAAGAUUUUGUGACUGAUUGGCGGACGGGUGAGUAACGCGUGGGUAACCUGCCUCAUACAGGGGGAUAACAGUUGGAAACGACUGCUAAUACCGCAUAAGCGCACGGUACCGCAUGGUACCGUGUGAAAAACUCCGGUGGUAUGAGAUGGACCCGCGUCUGAUUAGCUAGUUGGUGGGGUAACAGCCUACCAAGGCGACGAUCAGUAGCCGACCUGAGAGGGUGACCGGCCACAUUGGGACUGAGACACGGCCCAAACUCCUACGGGAGGCAGCAGUGGGGAAUAUUGCACAAUGGGGGAAACCCUGAUGCAGCGACGCCGCGUGAACGAAGAAGUAUUUCGGUAUGUAAAGUUCUAUCAGCAGGGAAGAUAAUGACGGUACCUGACUAAGAAGCACCGGCUAAAUACGUGCCAGCAGCCGCGGUAAUACGUAUGGUGCAAGCGUUAUCCGGAUUUACUGGGUGUAAAGGGAGCGCAGGCGGUGCGGCAAGUCUGAUGUGAAAGCCCGGGGCUCAACCCUGGUACUGCAUUGGAAACUGUCGUACUAGAGUGUCGGAGGGGUAAGUGGAAUUCCUAGUGUAGCGGUGAAAUGCGUAGAUAUUAGGAGGAACACCAGUGGCGAAGGCGGCUUACUGGACGAUAACUGACGCUGAGGCUCGAAAGCGUGGGGAGCAAACAGGAUUAGAUACCCUGGUAGUCCA
rnacentral:rRNA from 1 species